UCGAUUCUGCUCCGCGCUCGUGCCCCGGAGGGCGGCUCCCGCAAAACCUUUAUGAAUAAUGAUGUAUACAAAUAUGAUAGUUAACAAUCAAAACACAGUGCCUAUCGAUACGUGUAAAUGUGAAAUCGCUAAUGUAAAAUGUUUUUUUUUUGUCGUUGGAUAGUGUAUAUAGUUGGCUUCGCUCUACCUGAUUUGAAAAUGGCGUUAAUGAGGUUUCAACCCUGUCCCAGUGGGUCCUUCCUCUUGCUGUCGGUGAAGACCCCCUUGGUGGUGGCAAUCUCAGUUUUACCCAGUGCUUUAGUUCCUGAGCCGCCAGUGGAUCGUCACCUUCUUCUUCUGCCUGCACUGUGUCUCGCCCCUGUACCAGGAACAGGAUAGGACAAUGACAAUUUCUAAAUUAUGCUCUUUUUAAAUAAAUAAUUCAAAUGGCAAA